CUUGAAAUGUAUAUUUUACUGUUAAAUUACAACAAGCUUCUAGCGCUAUAUAUGGUUCUCAGUGGUUGAUUUGAUGGCUUGAGCCCGUGAUAUUGAAAUCACACAAACAAAUAAAUCGUUACUCCAAUAAUCCCGUAUUGAUAAAUAAUAUUAAUUAACUCCUGCGUAAUUAAAACUAAGUAUGCUUGCCAUAUAGCAACUUCCAGAGUCAGAUCUAUAUAUAAGACAAUAGAUGAAUGCUCAGAACAAACAAAUUUUCCUUAAUUUGGUUCCAUUCUUUUGCAGUCAAGGAAUACACAAUCAAGAAGCCUAACACGGAUGGAUACAACUGCUAGCAUAGCAUCAAAUGUGGCUGUACCUGUUCUAAAACAACUUACUUAUGUAUUGCUGUACAACAAUUUGUUGCCAUAAAUUAGGGUGGAAGUGGAGUGACUCCUUCACCUUGCUGCUUUGCAAGGAAGGAGUGAGAUGGCAUGAUACCUAUUCCCUCAAACAAAAGAAAUCAUGCAAGAGGAUUGGAUUUCACUGUUCUUCAUUUGUAUAAAUUCAGGACUCUAUGAUUUAUACCUUGAUAUGUUGAAUAAGAA